rnacentral:rRNA from 1 species
ACGGAAGGCAGCAGUGGGGAAUAUUGCACAAUGGGGGAACCCUGAUGCAGCGACGCCGCGUGAGUGAUGAAGUAUUUCGGUAUGUAAAGCUCUAUCAGCAGGGAAGAAAAUGACGGUACCUGACUAAGAAGCCCCGGCUAACUACGUGCCAGCAGCCGCGGUAAUACGUAGGGGGCAAGCGUUAUCCGGAUUUACUGGGUGUAAAGGGAGCGUAGACGGUUGUGCAAGUCUGAAGUGAAAGGCGGGGGCUUAACCCCCGGACUGCUUUGGAAACUGUACGGCUUGAGUACCGGAGGGGUAAGCGGAAUUCCUAGUGUAGCGGUGAAAUGCGUAGAUAUUAGGAGGAACACCGGUGGCGAAGGCGGCUUACUGGACGGUAACUGACGUUGAGGCUCGAAAGCGUGGGGAGCAAACAGGAUUAGAUACCCUGGUA